rnacentral:rRNA from 1 species
UACAGGGGGUGCAAACGUUGCUCGGAAUCAUUGGGCGUAAAGCGCACGUAGGCGGUUCGUUAUGUCGGAUGUGAAAGCCCUUGGCUUAACCGAGGAAGUGCAUCCAAAACUGGCGAGCUAGAGUACUAAAGAGGAUCGCGGAAUUCCCGGUGUAGAGGUGAAAUUCGUAGAUAUCGGGAGGAACACCGGUGGCGAAGGCGGCGAUCUGGGUAGAUACUGACGCUGAGGUGCGAAAAGCGUGGGGGAGCAAACAGG